rnacentral:tRNA from 1 species
GCUGGGAAAGCUCAGUUGGUUGAGCAUGAGACUCUUAAUCUCAGGGUCAUGGGCUUGAGCCCCACGUUGGGCA